rnacentral:lncRNA from 1 species
GGGCGGGCCGCGGGGGCUCGGCGGGUUUCGAGGACGCGGCUGGGCGACGGGCGCGCGGGCCGCACGGAAGGGAGAAGUCGUGUGGCCGGGAGAGCCGGGGCUGGGGCCGCUGUGGGUGCGCCCUGUCCGGCUCUCCCCGACGUCAUUCUUCCUUCGGGUUCAGGGCCCUCCCGGCUGCUCGGAGGAGAAAGGGGGCGCUGGCAUCACGUUGCGGAGGAGCCGAAGGCUAGCCAGGAGAAAGCUCUGCACAAAAAGCGGGCUCCACACCCCUGGCAGGGAUCCGACCGCCUCUGCACUGCUGAAGGCUCACCCAGGCGCAGAUCAGGAGGGCAGUGCUUACAGAAGCUGCUGUCGGUUUCUGCCUAGUGUACAAUGUCUUUUCAUGCAGGACAGCGGAUGUGUAUCUUCAGAUGCAGCGGUCUGGGUCGUGUCAGACUCGCAGUGGACACUUGACAAGUCCCGCCCGAGGUGAGGGCCUCGUCCCUGUCAUCGGCACACCUGACACAGAGCACGAACCGUCACCGGGGCACGCUGCGGCUGGGGCUCCGCUGACCUGCCUGCCGACUCACGUGUGGCUCUUGGCUGUCUUCGGAAUGCUUGGAGACUCCUCUGCAGUUUCCUCGCAGAGAGCCCUCAUAUAGGGUGUUGCCUGCAAAUGGCCUGAGUUCCUCGUGACCAUUAAGCUAAAGAAGGAAUCCUCACGCCGAGCUGCCGCAAGCCUUCUUCACUAGUGGCGUUUAGUGCAGAGCAGCUGGCAGCUGUGCGGGAGCCCAGGCG